UGGGGAAUUUUGGACAAUGGGCGAAAGCCUGAUCCAGCAAUGCCGCGUGUGUGAAGAAGGCCUUCGGGUUGUAAAGCACUUUUGUCCGGAAAGAAAUCCUUGGCUCUAAUACAGUCGGGGGAUGACGGUACCGGAAGAAUAAGCACCGGCUAACUACGUGCCAGCAGCCGCGGUAAUACGUAGGGUGCAAGCGUUAAUCGGAAUUACUGGGCGUAAAGCGUGCGCAGGCGGUUUGCUAAGACCGAUGUGAAAUCCCGGGCUCAACCUGGGAACUGCAUUGGUGACUGGCAGGCUAGAGUAUGGCAGAGGGGGGUAGAAUUCCACGUGUAGCAGUGAAAUGCGUAGAGAUGUGGAGGAAUACCGAUGGCGAAGGCAACCCCUGGGCCAAUACUGACGCUCAUGCACGAAAGCGUGGGGAGCAAACAGGAUUAGAUACCCUGGUAGUCCACGCCCUAAACGAUGUCAACUAGUUGUUGGGAUUCAUUCCUUAGUAACGUAGCUAACGCGUGAAGUUGACCGCCUGGGGAGUACGGUCGCAAGAUUAAAACUCAAAGGAAUUGACGGGGUCAUAGCUG
rnacentral:rRNA from 1 species